UACGUAGGGUGCAAGCGUUAAUCGGAAUUACUGGGCGUAAAGCGUGCGCAGGCGGUGAUGUAAGACAGGUGUGAAAUCCCCGGGCUCAACCUGGGAACUGCAUUUGUGACUGCAUGGCUAGAGUACGGUAGAGGGGGAUGGAAUUCCGCGUGUAGCAGUGAAAUGCGUAGAUAUGCGGAGGAACACCGAUGGCGAAGGCAAUCCCCUGGGCUAACACUGACGCUCAGGCACGAAAGCGUGGGGAGCAAACAGG
rnacentral:rRNA from 1 species